rnacentral:rRNA from 1 species
UACGGAGGGUGCAAGCGUUAUCCGGAUUUAUUGGGUUUAAAGGGUCCGUAGGCGGAUGAUUAAGUCAGUGGUGAAAGCCCACAGCUCAACUGUGGAAUUGCCAUUGAUACUGAUUGUCUUGAGUACGUUUGAUGUUGGCGGAAUAUGUCAUGUAGCGGUGAAAUGCUUAGAUAUGACAUAGAACACCGAUUGCGAAGGCAGCCAACAAAGCCGUAACUGACGCUGAGGGACGAAAGCGU